CAGCAGCCACGGUAAUACGUAGGGGGCGAGCGUUGUCCGGAAUUAUUGGGCGUAAAGCGCGCGCAGGCGGUCCCUUAAGUCUGAUGUGAAAGCCCACGGCUCAACCGUGGAGGGUCAUUGGAAACUGGGGGACUUGAGUGCAGAAGAGGAGAGCGGAAUUCCACGUGUAGCGGUGAAAUGCGUAGAGAUGUGGAGGAACACCAGUGGCGAAGGCGGCUCUCUGGUCUGUAACUGACGCUGAGGCGCGAAAGCGUGGGGAGCAAACAGGAUUAGAUACCCUGGUAGUCCACGCCGUAAACGAUGAGUGCUAAGUGUUAGAGGGGUUAAACCCUUUAGUGCUGUAGCUAACGCGUUAAGCACUCCGCCUGGGGAGUACGGCCGCAAGGCUGAAACUUAAAGGAAUUGGCGGG
rnacentral:rRNA from 1 species